AUGCUUCGGCAGCAUAUAUACUAAAACUGGAAUGAUAAAGAGAAGAUUAGCAUGGAUUUUGCGCAAGGAUGACACACAAACUCGUGAAGCGUUCCAUAUUUUU